AACGAACGCUGGCGGUAUGCUUUACACAUGCAAGUCGAACGGGUAAGAGCCGUAGCAAUACGGAAUUCUGCUAGUGGCAAACGGGUGAGUAGCGCGUGGGAACCUACCUUAUAGUACGGAAUAGCCCCGGGAAACUGGGAUUAAUACCGUAUACGCUCUUCGGAUGAAAGAUUUAUCGCUAUAAGAUGGGCCCGCGUUAGAUUAGCUAGUUGGUGAGGUAAUGGCUAACCAAGGCGACGAUCUAUAGCUGGUUUGAGAGGAUGAUCAGACACACUGGAACUGAGACACGGUCCAGACUUCUACGGGAGGCAGCAGAGGGGAAUAUUGGACAAUGGGCGAAAGCCUGAUCCAGCAAUACCGCGUGAGUGAUGAAGGCCUUAGGGUUGUAAAACUCUUUCAGUAGGUAAGAUAAUGACGGUACCUACAGAAGAAGCACCGGCUAACUCCGUGCCAGCCGCCGCCGUAA
rnacentral:rRNA from 1 species